UAUUACCAAUAUAUCAAAAUAUAUCAGUGCCAUUGAUUUGUCUCAAGUUACACACCAGUAAUAUUGCCCGAAGACCUGGCUGUGAAACCAGGCCUUAAAGUUUUCCUCUAACUAGAUGAAACAUCUUGGUUAUGUAUGGUAACCCUUGUUGCCUGAAGGAGGGAAUGGAGAGGUGACGUCGGUGACCAACGAAUUGGGAUAUUGCUUCAAUAGAACGAUCUACUUUGAGGGUAAACUAAACGAGCCAAUGCACAUUGGCAUGUAAUUAUUACAUUCAGCUGCAGCUGAUGAUCGUGAGUAUAAGGCAGCAGCAAGUGCAAUGCAUAACAGAUUUUCGCUGAUGAGCCGAGCCGGUGACCCUGCCUCUCAGUGGUGGUACAGCAGCCAUAGCGACGGGACGUGACCAACGAAUUGGGAUUGCCUACCAAAGCACCAUAGGUGCUUCCCCUUCCAGUGCACUGUGCAAUCCACCUGUGGUCCUUUUUGGUGUAGGCCGGGGGUCACAACAAGUAGUUCCAUUCACAAUUGUCAAAGCACUACCCACUCAGUGAGACUGGUUAACACUGGGAAAACGUACCCAUUCCAAUUGGAACAGAGACACUGCCGAAGCUCCAUCCUUCCUGUUGGCUCGUUUAGUUUACACUUUGACAUUGGUCACCGACAUGACGUCAAGAGUGACCAACUGAAAGGGAACCAGUGAAAUCUCAGUGAUCCAAUACCUAAUAUAUUCCAUAUCCAACUGGCUGCAUUUGUGUCAUGUGGUUCAGCUUUUUUUGCUAGAAAAACUCCCCAAUAUCUUCCAUAACAUUCUUGUGAGCCUUGCCAGUUUGUGCUUGCUUAAGAUGCAGCAUAACAUUGCAUUCAAUAUUCGGUCCUGAUUUAGAAGAAAACAGUGGGAAAAAUAGUGGGGAUCCACUAUUUGUAAACGGUGACAUGAGCCGCGUCCGAAAUCGCAUACUUCCAUACUAUAUAGUAGGCGAAAAACAGUAUGCGAAGCAAGUAGUAUGUCCGAAUUCUUAGUAUUCGAAAAACAGUAGGUGAGAUGUACCCGGAUGGCCUACUACUUCCUGCCGAAUUCCGUAGUAUGCAUAGGAUGGACACUUCUCUAUCCCAUGAGGCACCGGGAGAGGGCUCGUCAUACUCAAAUUCGAAAAUAACGGAAAAUCAUGACGCCGCUGUUUUGAAGUAGACUGAUGAACACAAUCUUGUUCUCAUCCACUGAUGAAACCCUAUUCACUGGAAAGCAUAAUUCAGUAAUCUGCUCUUGAAGAGCUGCACACGGUCACCUGCUGUGACACAGCUGUGGUCCGUUUGUCCCGCACAUGCUCUUCUGUGCUGACUUCUGUGUUUUGGGGUUCCAGUGUAUCAUCGUCAUGAUCCUCCACAACUUCUGGAUCAGCAAUGUCCUCAUUCAGAAGACGGAGGUUGUGGAGCACUGCACAGCAUGCAGCAACAUCUGCACAAAGGCAGAACUCACUUCCAGGGCCUUGAAGAAGAAGAUGGAGCACAGCUGGUCUUCAUCAUCCUGAAGGCUCUCUCAACAAUGUUCUGUGCACGAGCAUCAUUGGUGUUGAAUCAAAGCUGUGCAGGAUUCUGUUCAGGCUCUCUGUCUGCUGUGAUGAGGCAGAUGAACACUCACACAAGGACACACACACCAUCUCCCAGAUGUGUUUUCCUGCAGGUGGAUAGGCCUCCAGAGUUCUUCAGCACCCUGGCAUCAUACACAGACCCGGGAUACUCAACAAAGAUAUCAAGGUACUUACCAUGGUGGUGACCUGCAGCUGAACAGAAUGAAACCACUUCCUGUUGAAAUAACAUUGGGCUUCACUUGCUGGAGGUUCAGUUUGUAUGUGACAGCCAUCUAUGGUGUCAGCUACCAGAAGAAAAGCUGCUUCCACUGCCUCCAGGUCAUCUGUGGUGGAGAAGGCAAUCAGCCUCCU